UUUGUACUCCCUCCAUCCCAAAAUUCUUGUCUUAAAUUUGUCUAAAUACGGAUGUAUCUAGUUACAUUUUAGUGUUAGAUACAUCCGUAUCUAAACAAAUGUAAGACAAGAAUUUUGGGACGGAGGGAAUACUAG
rnacentral:pre_miRNA from 1 species